ACACCGCUCCUGAAUGUGGGGAAGACGGACAUCUCGGCCGGAGAGCAAGCCCCAGCGGCCCGGGUCCCCUUGGGGAUACCGGCGGAGUUCGAGUAUUCUGCAGUGAGAGCACGACGCGUGAGGCCCCUGUAUCAGUACAUUCACCACGGCCUGCCUGCGCUGGCGUCUGUUCCCGCAGAGCCCGCGUCACGCCGGGGCUCAGCGCAGCCUCCCGCAUCGCUGUCGCCAUCCGGAGAGCCCGCAGCGACCAGAGCUUCAGACUGCAUGUCCCCUGGCACAGCGGGAGGUUCUUGUGGACAGGUUAUAGCACCGCUGGAGCUGGACUGUUCACCCCAAGACAGGAUGGACCGAAUUCUCCACCUCUGCCCCACAGACCUGCUCCCCCCACUCUCUCCACAGUAGCAGCAGACGUGAGGGUCUUUGACCAGCCUUUGCUGAAGAAGCCCCGGCACGUUCUGCAUACAGGAUUCUCUAUCAGACGCUUUUAAUUCAGUUUUAAGUUCUCCGAUUUUUGCAUCUUGCUUUAUUUUCUCUGCCUGCAGGAGAAUGUGGAGCAGAUAGAAACAGAUCAAUAAUAAGGAAGCAGUGAGCUAAUACAAUUAACACUCCUGUUGAGUUUGUGGAAAGCAGUGGAGAAGUGGUCACCAUUAGUCAGCAGAUAGGUCUGUGAAAGCUGCUGUCUCCUGUCUUUGGCAUUUUGUCUUCCCCCAGCAGAACACAGGAGCUUUCACGGUGAAAUAAAAUCUGAAACAAUGA